AGCUUUGCGCAGGGGCAGUAUCGUAGCCAAUGAGGUUUAUCCGAGGCGCGAUUAUUGCUAAUUGAAAAUACAAAAUUUGUUAUGCAUAGCUUCCUCAAUAUAACACAACACUAAGAUACAAUUAUCUUUUAUAUGA
rnacentral:snRNA from 1 species